rnacentral:rRNA from 1 species
AAACGUAGGGGGCGAGCGUUGUCCGGAAUUACUGGGCGUAAAGCGCGUGUAGGCGGAAACUUAAGUCAGGUGUGAAAACUCGGGGCUCAACCCCGAGCCGGCAUCUGAAACUGGGUUUCUUGAGGAUGGGAGAGGAAAGUGGAAUUCCUAGUGUAGCGGUGAAAUGCGUAGAUAUUAGGAGGAACACCAGUGGCGAAGGCGGCUUUCUGGACCAUACCUGACGCUGAGACGCGAAAGCGUGGGGAGCAAACAGGAUUAGAUACCCUGGUAGUCCACGCCGUAAACGAUGGGUACUAGGUGUAGGAGGUAUCGACCCCUUCUGUGCCGCAGCUAACGCAUUAAGUACCCCGCCUGGGGAGUACGGCCGCAAGGUUGAA